GGGGGUUUGAAGAUCCUAUUCAGUGCGCACUGGCGAUGGGUACCCUCUGGUGUGCGGACAUCAAAAGAAGCAGCAACCCGGUCAGACGCGAGCCCCGCGGUACAGAGGCGGCCAAACGACAAGACAGAAGUUACAAAGAGGUUUUGUUCGAGACACAAGAGGGGGAUUUCAUUCAGCAGCGGGCGAUAGCGGAGCUCCCUGCUCUGUUCUGCUCGUGUCAGAGUGUCCAAGGAGGCUGAUCGUCGGACCGGUGUGUUUUACGCGCAUCUUUUCCCGGAAUAUGCAUCCUGCUUAACAGACUUAAUUGACUCGCGAUUCCGGGGGAGAGUCAGACAGAGACUGACAAGACGAGCAGGCAGAGAGGCUAUGGUGCUCAAAGUGGGACCACAUCCUCAUCCUCAUCCUCCUCUUUACUGCCGUGCAACGGGAAGGAAACAGAAAGCAAAGAACAAAAACGACGAGGGCUGUGAUAGAAAGUGGAUCAGCUGUUGACGGCCCUCUGAGCUGAAGGUGACCUGUUGGCUGGGCCAAGGGCUGCAACACAGGACAUGGGUCCUGCCUCUCCUCCCCGCUCGUGUCUUGUGUUGCAGCCAGUGGAGCUGCCUGUCUGCCCCUCUGCCGGUCUGUCUGCCCGCCCGCUGAUGAACUGAGCUCCCAGAACAGAUGGAUCCUACCAACUGCGGACCUGCUGACCCUGCUCCUCACUUUACAACCAAGCUUGUGCCUCGUCACUGACAUUUUCAGUGUAGUUUUCAAAAUCAAUAUACUGUCCUCUCUCACAGUUUAAAGGCAAUAAAGUACUUUAGAGAAAACAUUACUCCUAUUGUAUUUGUAAUGAUAACAGCAGGAUUCAAAGGUAAUUUGUUUUGGGAUAUAUUAGGCUACGCUUGGUGUCCUCAGUUUAGAUUCAGUACUUGUUUCAGGUCAUGUCUUAUCAAGCAUAUUAGCUGCAGUCCUCAGAGAAUACCUCCCUGGUAACAUUUGCACUGUGACAUUUAAAGCAAAGUUAGCACCAUUGCAGAUUAUUAUUCUUUUGAAACCAUAAACACACGGCAAGCCAAAUGACUUUUAAAUGAACCUUGUCUUGCAUCAAAUGAAGCAGCACUUCUGACUUUCCCAGGGAGCAAACAUCAUCAUGAAGCAAUAGCUCCUGACAAGGUCAACAGUGAUUUACCUAUGGGGGAGGCAGGCAGGUGCUGGGGAGGCACGCGCUGGCUGUCUAAGCCCCCUAAAAUGCUUCCUCAUCUUCCCCCCAGGUUGCAAAUGAACAACACAGACAAAGAGGUUAAAAGAGUCACACGAGAUAGCUUCUGUCUUUGUUCUUAUCUCAAUAAGAAGGAGGGAGUACAGAGGACAGAGAUGCAGUACAAUGCCUCCUUCCACCAGAUGUGACCGUUCACCCUGCAUUGUCACUCAAACACAACUCAGGCCCAGUCAGAGAUCACUAUGUGCAUGAAGAGGAC